CUGAAAUGUGAUCCAGAGAAUCCUCCUUUAAGGAUAAAAAAGAAGAAAAGGAAAACAGUAAGAAAGUUGUCUUUCCGUCUGAAGUACAUUAAAACUAAGAACAAUCUUUAUGUGAAAAAAAAAGUUACAUAAAAGGUCUCACUGAAGCAGAGUACCCAGUGACUUCUGAGGCUGCAGGCCAUGAGACUCUCCUCUGGUGGUCUGAUGACAGCCUGCAUCUUGGGCCCAAGACGGGACCAGCAGACCAUGGGCUCUAGCAGCCAAAGCCUGCAAGGAAGAGAAUACCCUGAUGCCAAGUUCUGGAAACAUGGCUCUGGAGGGCACGUUGGAGCAAGGUCAGCUGUCAUAGGAAGGCACGUUGGUGGCAUUUCAGGACAGCACAACUACAGCUAUGCGUGGGACAUGUAAUGGUAAGCCAGAUUAAUGUCUGCCCACGGAGGGAGAUACCCUGGGGAACAGAUCGCUUUCAUACACUGAGGGGCUCUGGUAGUGGCAAGAGGCCUGCCUGGUUUUGUGGCGAGAAGCAUCAGAAGUUACUGAAAGAGCUAAUGUCUGAACUGAAUUUUUGUCAGGAAAAGAAAGGCUUUCCUAGAAGAGGACACAUCUUGAGUUAAGGCAGAGAGGCAAGAAUAGCAUGGUGUGGGUAAGGAAUUAAAAGCAGAGUAUUGUUUAAAUGAAAGUGUGGAGCAGCUAGGUUUAUAUUUCCACGUCUAGAGGCACAGAUAGGAUUUAUUCUGGCUUCUUGACCAUCUGAUGAAAACCUGGGGAUGCAUCGCUGGCCCCAUUAGUUUUAUGGCUGAUGGUUAUUUGACUUUUCUGAUACUGCUGAUUUUUGUUGGUAGAGGUAAAGUUAAAAACAAGGCUUCAAGGAGUGAAGCCGCUUCACUUGCUUUCUCUUUUGGUCCACCUACUCCACCAUUUACAGCAUCCUGGCUUCUCUGGCUCCUCCCAGUCCUCGACCCCAUCUCCCCCAUCUUACCAGCUGUUUACACCUUUCUCCAGGCUACCCUCCCACUUUUUGACAUUGACAUUUUAGCUCCUCCUCUUCUACUCUGAGAUGCUCUGCCCCCUGGAGGAACUCUUCCUAGAUCAUCUUUGUCUGCAUUUGUCUUUCCUGCCUCUGAACUCCUAAAGCACAUGGUCUCAAUCACUGGUUUGACACUUGCUUAUAUAUAUGAACUGUUGUUUUUUACUGAAUAAUGAGAGCCAGGUACCGUGUUAGUUAUAUUUUAUGCUUGGCAAAUAUGUGUUGAUAAUUUACAUGUAGAUGUAUUAUGUAGUUGAUGUGACGUAAGUCACCAAGGUAAGAUUUGUUAGCCUGAGGUCCACAAACUCCUUGACAUUUUGUGUAACAUGUAUGAUGUGUAUAUAUAUAUAUAUGUAUUCUCUGGGGUGUAGGUCUGUGACUUUCAUUACUACCUCAAAGGGAUCUAUGACUCCAAAAUGUUUAAGAACUACAGGAUUGAGGCAAAAUAAAAAAUAUAAGAAGUGCUGGUUCAGCUGAGAAGAACUGGGCAAGCAUUAGCUGAGCUCUAAUUGCAGAAUUAUAUAAUAACUACACAUAAUGAGAGAUUAGGAUUGGUUGACAUCUCAUAGUCUGCCAUGUAUAAAAUACCAAAUUUAUGAAAGUAUAAACGUACAUGUAUUUAUAAAUUACAUAUAUCUAAAAGUAAUAUAGAUACAUAAAAUUAAACCUCACUUUAUUAUUAGGAAUCAUAUUUCUCUGUGUUAUAGCAAUUUAAAGAUCAGGCUAAGACUAAUAGAUGUCACUUCCCUUUUGCCUACAACUUUUCUAUAUACUAUAUUCUUUCACUCAUAAAAAUUGAAUAAGAAUUUUUAAUAUCAAUCUUUAAAUGUUAAAGUUCCUUUUAAAAGACCAAUGACUUUAUUUUUUAAAUUAAAAGUAAAUGAAACAUUGUCACUAAUUUUUUUCCCCUUCAUCUAUUUCACCCAUUCCCCACCAUCCCCUUUGGCAACAGUCUGUUCUCUAUGUCUGUGAAUCUGGUUUUGUUUUGUUUGGCUGGUUUUUUUAGAUUCUGCAUGUAAGUGAAACCAUAUUGUAUUUGUCUUUCUCUGAUUUUUUUCAUUUCAUGUAAUACUCUUUAGGCCCAUGUUGUCACAAAUGGCAAGAUCUCAUUCUUUUUUAAGGCUGAGUAAUAUUCCAUUGUGUGUGUGCACACGCACACACACACACUACAUUUUUUGUAUCCAUUUAUCUGUCAGUGUACAUUCAGGUUGCUUCCAUAUUUUGGCUGCUGUAAAUAAUGCGAUAAGCAUAGGAGUAUGUAUAUUUUUUCAUAUUAGUUAUUUUGUUUUCUCUGAAUAAAAUCUCAGUAGUCAAAUUAUUGGGUCGUAUGGUAUUUCUAUUUUUAGUUUUUUGAGCAACCUCCAUACUACUUUCCAUAGUGGCUCUACCAAUUUGCAGUCCUGCCAGCAAUGUGCAAGAGUUCCCUUUUCUCCACAUCCUUGCCAGCAUUUACUGUUUGUCUUGUUGAUGUUAGCCACUAUGGCUGGUAUGAGGUGAUAUCUCAUAGUGGCUUUGAUUUGUAUUUCCUUGAUGAUUAGUGAUGUUGAACAUAUUUUCAUGUGUCUUGGCCGUCUGUAUGUCUUCUUUGGAAAAAUGAAUAUUCAUUUCCUCUGCCCAUUUAAAAUCAGUUAUUUAGUUUCUUUUAGUGUUAGUUGUGUGAGUUCUUUAUAUAUUUUGGAUAUUAGUCCGUUAUCAGAUACAUCAUUUGCAAACAUAUUCUCCCACAUAAUAAGCUGCCUUUUUGUUUUGUUUAUGGUUUCCUUUGCAGAGAAGAAGGUUUUUAAUUUGAUGUAUUCCUAUUUGUUUUUGUUUCCCUUGCCUGGGAAGGCAUAUCCAGAAAACAACUAGUGUCGAUGUUCAAGAGUGUACUGCCUAUAUUUCUUCUAGGAGUUUUAUGGUUUCAGGUCUUAAUCCAUUUUGAGUUUAUUUUUCUGUAUGAUGUAAGACACUGAUCCAGUUGCAUUCUUUAACAUGUAGCUGGCUAGUUUUCCUAACCCCAUUUAUUGAAGAGAUUCUUUUCCCCAUUGUAUAUUCUUGCGUCCUUUGUCAUGUAUGAAUUGACAAUAUAGAUGUGGGUAUAUUUCUAGGCCUUUUAUUCUGGUCAUUGGUCUAUGCAUCUGUUUUUGUGCCAGUAACAUACGGUUUUGAUUACUUAUAGGUUGAAAUCAGGGAGCAUAAAACCCCCAAGCUUUGUUCUUUCUCAAGGUUGCUUUGUAUAUUCAGGGUCUUUUGUGGUUCCAUUCAAAUUUCAGGAUUGUUUGCUUUAGUUCACUGAAAAAUGCCAUUGGUAUUUUGAUAGGGAUCACACUGAAUCUGUAGAUUGCUUUGGGAAGUAUGGACAUUUUAACAAUAUUAAUUCUUCCUAUCCAUGAGCACAGAAUAGCUUUCCAUUUGUUUGUGUCUUAUUCAGUUCCUUUCACCAAUGUGUUACAGUUUUCAGAGUACAGGUCUUUCACUUCUUCGGGGAGCUUUGUUCCUAGGUAUUUUAUUCUAUUUGAUGCAGUUGUACAUGGGAUUGAUUUCUUAAUUUCUCUUUCUCCUAGUUCAUUAUUUGUUUAUAGAAGUGAAACAUUUCUCUAUAUUGAUUUUGUAUUGUGUGACCUUACUGAAUUAAUUCUGAUAGAUUUUUGAAGGCAUGUUUAGGAUUUUCUAUAUAUGGUGUCCUGUUAUUCUACAAAUAGUAAUUUUACUUCUUCUUUACCAAGUUGGAUGCUUUUAUUUCUUUUCCUUUUCUAUUGCUAUGGUUAAGACUUCCAGUACUAUGUUGAAUAAAAGUGGUGAAAGCAUGCAUCCUUAUCUUGUUCCUGAUCUUAGAGGAGGCUUUCAGCUUUUUGCCAUUGAGUAUGAUAUUUAUUGGCUGAGGGGUUUGUCAUACAUCACCUUUAUUAUGUUGAGCUGUUUCCUCUUUAUCCACUUUGUUGAGAGUUUUCAUCAUGAAUAGAUGUUAAAUGUAAAAAAUUUUUAGAAUGUAUGGAGAUCAUGUUUUUUAUCCCUUAGUUAAUGUGAUAUAUCAUAUCGAUUGAUGUGUGGAUACUGAACCAUCCUUGCAUCCCUAGAUAAAUCCCACUUGGUCAUGGUGAAUGAUCCUUUCAAUGUAUUUUUUUAAAUUAAGGUAUCAUUGAUAUACACUCUUAUGAAGAUUUCUCAAGAAACACAAGGUGGUUAUUAAAUUCACCCUUAUUAUCGAGUUCCCCCCCACCGAUACCCAUUGCAGUCACUGUCCAUCAGUGCAGUAAGAUGCCACAGAUUCCCUAUUUGUGUUCUCUGAGCUACACUGUCUUUCCCAUGACCCCACAUACACCAGGGGCACUAGUCAUGAUAUCCCAUGAUCCCCUUCUCCCUCCCUCCCCACCACUCCCCUUUGGUAGUCCCUUCUUGGAGUCUGUGAGUCUGCUGCUCUUUUGUUCCUUCAGUUUUGCUUUGUUGUUACACUCAACAAAUGAGGGAAAUAAUUUGGUAUUUGUCUUUCUCUGCCUGACUUAUUUCACUGAGCAUAAUACCCUCUAACUCCAUCCAUGUUGUUGCAAAUGGUAGGAUUUGUUUCUUUCUUAAGGCUGAAUAAUAUUCCAUUGUGUAUAUGUACCACAUCUUGUACCACAUCUCUUUUAUCCAUUCAUUUCCUGAUGGACACUGAGGUUGCUUCCAUCUCUUGGCUAUUGUAAACAGUGCUGCGAUAAACAUAGGGGUGCACAUGUCUAUUUGAGUCUGAGAAGUUGUUUUCUUUGGGUAAAUUCCUAGGAGUGGAAUUCCCGGGUCAAAUGGUAUUUCUAUUUUGAGUUUUUUGAGGAAACUCCAUACUGCUUUCCAUAAUGGUUGAACCCUAUUUUACAUUCCCACCAGCAGCGUAGGAGGGUUCCCCUUUCUCUACAUCCUUGCCAACAUUUGUUGUUGUUUGUCUUUUGGAUGUUGGCCAUCCUAACUGGUGUGAGGUGAUACCUCAUUGUGGUUUUAAUUUGCAUUUCUCUGAUGAUUAGCGAUGUGGAGCAUCUUCUCAUGUGCCUGUUGGCCAUCUGUAUUUCUUUUUGGAGAACUGUCUGUUCAUAUCCUCCACCCAUUUUUUAAUAGGGCUAUUUGCUUUUUGGGUGUUGAGGAGUGUGAGUUCUUUAUAUAUUUUGGGUGUUAACACCUUGUUGGAUAUGUCAUUUACAAAUAUAUUCUCCCAUAAUGUGAGAUGCCUUUUUGUUCUGCUGAUGGUGUCUUUUGCUGUACAAAAGCUUUUUAGCUUGAUGUAGUUCCAUUUGUUCAUUUUUUUAUUUUGUUUUCCUUGUCCAAGGAGAUGAGUUCAGGAAAAAAUUGCUCAUGUUUAUAUUCAAGAGAUUUUUGCCUAUGUUUUCUUCUAUGAGUUUUAUGGUUUU